UACAGAGGUCCCAAGCGUUGUUCGGAUUCAUUGGGCGUAAAGGGUGCGUAGGCGGCGCGGUAAGUCGGGUGUGAAAUCUCGGAGCUUAACUCCGAAACUGCAUUCGAUACUGGCGUGCUUGAGGACUGGAGAGGAGACUGGAAUUCAUGGUGUAGCAGUGAAAUGCGUAGAGAUCAUGAGGAAGACCAGUGGCGAAGGCGGGUCUCUGGACAGUUCCUGACACUGAGGCACGAAGGUCAGGGGAGCAAACGGG
rnacentral:rRNA from 1 species